GAUGAACGCUAGCUACAGGCUUAACACAUGCAAGUCGAGGGACCGGCGCACGGGUGAGUAACACGUAUCCAACCUGCCCUUUAAUCGGGGAUAGCCUUUCGAAAGAAAGAUUAAUACCCGAUAUAAAGGAUGGGGAUGCGUUCCAUUAGGUUGGUGGUGAGGUAACGGCUCACCAAGCCUUCGAUGGCUAGGGGUUCUGAGAGGAAGGUCCGCCACAUGUGAAGUUGGGCGCGGUCCAAACGCGUACGGGAGGCAGCAGUGAUGAAUAUUGGUAAAUGGGCGCUAGCCUGAACCAGCCGAGUAGCGUGAAGGAUGAAGGCUUAUGGGUCUUAAACUUCUUUUAGAUAAGAAUGUUUAUUAUAUGAAGAGGGAUCGGCUAACUCCGUGCCAGCAGCCGCGGUAAUAC
rnacentral:rRNA from 1 species